rnacentral:rRNA from 1 species
UACGUAGGUGGCAAGCGUUGUCCGGAAUUACUGGGCGUAAAGCGUGCGCAGGCGGUUCUCCAAGUCCGUUGUGAAAGCCCCGGGCUCAACCUGGGAAUGGCAGUGGAAACUAGGGGACUGGAAUCUGGCAGAGGGGGGUGGAAUGCCGCGUGUAGCAGUGAAAUGCGUAGAGAUGCGGCGGAACACCGAUGGCGAAGGCAGCCCCCUGGGCUGAGAUUGACGCUCAGGCACGAAAGCGUGGGGAGCAAACAGG